AUUGAACGCUGGCGGCAUGCUUUACACAUGCAAGUCGAACGGCAGCACGGGCUUCGGCCUGGUGGCGAGUGGCGAACGGGUGAGUAAUAUAUCGGAACGUACCCAGAAGUGGGGGAUAACGUAGCGAAAGUUACGCUAAUACCGCAUACGAUCUAUGGAUGAAAGCAGGGGACCGCAAGGCCUUGUGCUCCUGGAGCGGCCGAUAUCUGAUUAGCUAGUUGGUGAGGUAAAGGCUCACCAAGGCGACGAUCAGUAGCUGGUCUGAGAGGACGACCAGCCACACUGGAACUGAGGCACGGUCCAGACUCCUACGGGAGGCAGCAGUGGGGAAUUUUGGACAAUGGGCGCAAGCCUGAUCCAGCAAUGCCGCGUGAGUGAAGAAGGCCUUCGGGUUGUAAAGCUCUUUUGUCAGGGAAGAAACGGUAGAGGCUAAUAUCCUUUGCUAAUGACGGUACCUGAAGAAUAAGCACCGGCUAACUACGUG
rnacentral:rRNA from 1 species